UGGGGAAUAUUGCACAAUGGAGGGAACUCUGAUGCAGCGACGCCGCGUGAACGAAGAAGGCUUUCGAGUCGUAAAGUUCUUUUAUAUGGGAAGAUAAUGACGGUACCAUAAGAAAAAGCCCCGGCUAACUACGUGCCAGCAGCCGCGGUAAUACGUAGGGGGCUAGCGUUGUCCGGAAUCACUGGGCGUAAAGGGUUCGCAGGCGGAAAUGCAAGUCAGGUGUAAAAGGCAGUAGCUUAACUACUGUAAGCAUUUGAAACUGCAUAUCUUGAGAAGAGUAGAGGUAAGUGGAAUUUUUAGGGUAGCGGUGAAAUGCGUAGAUAUUAAAAAGAAUACCGGUGGCGAAGGCGACUUGCUGGGCUCAUUCUGACGCUGAGGAACGAAAGCGUGGGUAGCAAACAGG
rnacentral:rRNA from 1 species